rnacentral:misc_RNA from 1 species
AGCAGCCGCGGUAAUUCCAGCUCCAAUAGCGUAUAUUAAAGUUGUUGCAGUUAAAAAGCUCGUAGUUGAAUUUCGGGAUCAAUAUGUUGGUCGUGCCUCGGUACGUACUAGCUUAUUGGUUUCUCCUUUCUGAAGAACCAUGAUGUCAUUUAUUUGGUGUCGUGGGGAAUCAGGACUGUUACUUUGAAAAAAUUAGAGUGUUUAAAGCAGGCUCACGCUUGAAUACAUUAGCAUGGAAUAAUGAAAUAGGACGUUUGAUUCUAUUUUGUUGGUUUCUAGGAUCGACGUAAUGAUUAAUAGGGAUAGUUGGGGGCAUUAGUAUUCAAUUGUCAGAGGUGAAAUUCUUGGAUUUAUUGAAGACUAACUACUGCGAAAAGCAUUUGCCAAGGAUGUUUUCAUUAAUCAAGAAACGAAAAGUUAGGGGAUCGAAGACGAUCAGAUACCGUCGUAGUCUUAACCAUAAACUAUGCCGACUAGGGAUCGGAUGAUGUUGAUUUUUUU